GAUGAACGCUAGCUACAGGCUUAACACAUGCAAGUCGAGGGGAAACGAUAUUGGAAGCUUGCUUCUGAUAGGCGUCGACCGGCGCACGGGUGAGUAACGCGUAUCCAACCUGCCCAUCACUUGGGGAUAACCUUGUGAAAGUAAGACUAAUACCCAAUGACGUCUCUAGAAGACAUCUGAAAGAGAUUAAAGAUUUAUCGGUGAUGGAUGGGGAUGCGUCUGAUUAGCUUGUUGGCGGGGUAACGGCCCACCAAGGCGACGAUCAGUAGGGGUUCUGAGAGGAAGGUCCCCCACAUUGGAACUGAGACACGGUCCAAAACUCCUACGGGAGGCAGCAGUGAGGAAUAUUGGUCAAUGGACGAGAGUCUGAACCAGCCAAGUAGCGUGCAGGAUGACGGCCCUAUGGGUUGUAAAACUGCUUUUAUAAAGGGAAUAAAAGUGGGAGUCCGUGACUCUUUUUGCAUGUACCUUAUGAAUAAGA
rnacentral:rRNA from 1 species